GCUUUUAGCUCAGUUGGUUAGGGCAUGCUGCUGAUAAGGUUGCAGGUUUGAUUCCUGUAUGGGACA